AUCGCUUCUUGGCCUUUUGGCUAAGAUCAAGUGAAGAGGGGCCUAGGGCUCUGGGACAAAAGAGAGUUAUCCUUCAUAUUCAUCUUUUGUUCUUUGAAAUGAUUUUAACCCUGUGCAUACAACAUUAUUUUUUCAUUAAACAAGUGGUUGCUUAAGCCACUAAAGUAAAAAUUUCU
ensembl:snRNA U2 U2 spliceosomal RNA